ensembl:lncRNA
AUGCCCCUGCAGCGGCGAGGGCCGCUCCCGCCAUGCCCCGCGGCCGCCGCCUCGACAGAGCCCACCUGCCCCGCGCCGGAAUGCACGCGUUGCCCCGAGUGGAGCAACCACUUCGGCCCAGGCCUCCCCACCGCCCUGCAGGGCCAAAAGGAAGGGUCGAUGUCGAUGCGGAACGUCUGCUGCUGCAGCGUCUUCAGGGUGAUCUGCAUGGCGGCGGCGGGCCGUCCGGCGCGCUCUUCCCCGGCUCCGGGCACGGCACGGCGGGAGGAGUGGAGGCGGAGCGGCGGCGCGCUGUCGCCUCACGGCCCCGGGCGGGCGCGGCGACUCCCGGGGCUGAGCGGGCGGAAGGCGGCGGGUGCGAGGAGUAACGGCUGCGGGACGGGCGGGGGAGGGGUGGCUGAGGCGGGAGGGGCGGGGAGAGGUGGGGGACGGGCGGAGUGCGCACGCGCUCUCGUGGGGGUGGUGCGUGUGUCUGUGAGCCAGUGGAUGCCAUGCGCAUGCGCUUUAGGGCUUUCUGCCGGCGCCUCGCGCCCGAGGGGCCGCCAAUGGCGGCGGUGAGGUGGUGCAGCGGCCGGGCGGGGCUACUGCCCUGGCUGUGGGAUCAAGUUCUUCUCAGCUAUGUGGUGGGCCGCGGGAGCAACUCGGGAGACCGGUUACUUGCUUAGGAUGGAGGCGGGCAACAUUAACCGGGCAAUGUGGUGCCUAGAUCCUGCUGGUGCUGCUGCAGGAGUUACUGCUGCCCUGUGAGGAGCUGCUGACCUCCUUUUCCCUUGAUAUUCCACAGGCAGCGAAGAGCAAUCCCUGCUGCAAAUAGCAUUCAACCCACUGUUGAGCCAGUUACUCUGACACGAGAAAUACUUGCCCUGGUUCCUUAUAGCUGCUUCCAUCUGUAGGUGUGGGACCUUGCAGUGCAUUUUCUUGGUCCCCAAGGCCCUCUCCUUGGCAAAAGAGGAUGCUAAUACUAGGUGAAUACAGGGCAUAGACCCUGGAUGUCUUAAGUCAUGCCUUGAGAAGUUCUGCUUGGUCGCUCACUAUAAUUUUUGGUAAGAAAAGUCACGCUUUAACUUGUCUUAGGAGUUUGGUUUCAUAAUAACUUCCUACAGGCAGUGGAGGUAAAUCAGAGUGGAAAGGGGAAGGGGCAGCCACCUCCCUGCAGCGAGGCGUGGGUGUCUCUGGGCUGCACACACAGGUGUGCCACUUCUGUGCUCACCCACCUGGGGCCGUGGUGCACAGCUGCUGGGCAGCCAAAGCCUCCCAGGGCUUUUGCACCCGGAGAGAAACUGCUGAGUAUUGCUGAUAGGAAUCCAGCAUUCUUGGCAGCGCACAAUAACUUGCUUGUGUUGCAGAGAGCCAUUCAGAACUAGAGGCUUGAGAUAAAGUAUCACUUGCUAUUUUUUGCAUGACUGUUUACAACCUGAAAUAUACUGUUCGCUCACUUCCACUGUUGCUUGAUCUCAGAUUUAGUUCUGUACCUUGCAGAUAGAAAGGAUAUUUUUUUUCUAUUUAGCAUUCAGCAGUCCAAGAGACAUUCUGCUGAAUGAAUGCAAAUGAAAGUACUUUGUGCUGAGCAAUUGUAUUAGUUUCACUACUCCUUUUUGUUCAGACUGUGUUGAAAGGAAGCUACUCAUACUCUCAUUCUUGUGGUUGCUGGUUGUAGUACAAAACAGCUCUGCACAGUUUGUGUUGGGGCAAGGGUUCAUUUACAUGUGAGUUGUUUGGUUCUGCCCUGAAAUCUUGUAAAAGCCUUAACAUAACUGAGAAUCAGCUCCAGAGGCUGUGAACUGGUAAAGAUGAUGUUUUUUGUGACUGUUUAUUUGAGCCUGGAGCAAAAAAGAGAAUAUGGGGGGGGAAAAGCUGAAUGGUUUUCCACUUCAGAGUGUUAUGGAACUUAGGGACAGCUCAUUGUAUGGAGCCCACUUCAAAUAAACAAGUUGAUGCUUCCUAUAGCUCAAAACCUUCAGCUCCAUAAAACAAAUUGUGGCGGGGCUGAAAUUUCCUUUUCAAGCUGUUUUCUAUCAUUUAUAGAAUUGAGGUAUUUUUCCAGAGUAUACUGGGUGUAGUUUCAUGGUACCUCUUGAGUCAGUGCUUGGUUUUUGUUUGUUUUUUUUUUCUUUCCAUUUUGUGUGGAAGUAAAUAAAACUUUUUAUCCAAGAAUAAUUCAGUUAUUUAAUCACUGAUUUCCUUGGAGCACUAAACAGUUGGAAGGGAAGGAAAUAAAAAUGACUUAGGUAUGACAAGCAGCAGUGUUUGUCUCUGAGAAUGGUUAGCUGAUGUCUGGACCUGUUAGCAGGAAAGGCUGUAGAAGGAUUUUACAGUACUUCAGAGUACUGUCUCACUGCAAGCUAUUUUAAUAUUUAGACUUCUUUUGAGAUUCUGCCCUGUCUUUGGUUUUGUCUGUGCUGUAGUAA